rnacentral:rRNA from 1 species
GUCUACGGCCAUAACACCCUGAACACGCCCGAUCUCGUCUGAUCUUGGAAGAAUAUUCAUGGGAGAAACUAUUCAUAUCAUUGAACAUUGGAUACUGUUCAAG